GACGAACGCUGGCGGCGUGCCUAAUACAUGCAAGUCGAGCGAAUCGAUGGGAGCCUGCUCCCUGAGAUUAGCGGCGGACGGGUGAGUAACACGUGGGUAACCUGCCUGUAAGACUGGGAUAACUUCGGGAAACCGGAGCUAAUACCGGAUACUUUCUUUUCUCGCAUGAGGGAAGAUGGAAAGAUGGUUCUGCUAUCACUUACACAUGGACCCGCGGCGCAUUAGCUAGUUGGUGGGGUAGCGGCUCACCAAGGCAACGAUGCGUAGCCGACCUGAGAGGGUGAUCGGCCACACUGGGACUGAGACACGGCCCAGACUCCUACGGGAGGCAGCAGUAGGGAAUCUUCCGCAAUGGACGAAAGUCUGACGGAGCAACGCCGCGUGGGCGAAGAAGGCCUUCGGGUCGUAAAGCUCUGUUGUUAGGGAAGAACAAGUACGAGAGUAACUGCUCGUACCUUGACGGUACCUAACCAGAAAGCCACGGCUAACUACGUGCCAGCCGCCGCCGUAAGAC
rnacentral:rRNA from 1 species